rnacentral:rRNA from 1 species
AUUAAUAAGCGGAGGAAAAGAAACUAACAAGGAUUCCCCCAGUAACGGCGAGUGAAGCGGGAAUAGCUCAAAUUUGAAAUCUCCGACGCUUGCGUCGGCGAAUUGUAGUUGCGAGAAGCACUUUCUCGGCGGAUCGGGCGUGCCUAAGUUGCUUGGAACAGUACGUCGCAGAGGGUGACAACCCCGUCUGUGGCACGGCCGGCCGCUAACGAUGUGCUUUCGAAGAGUCGGGUUGUUUGGGAAUGCAGCCCAAAACGGGUGGUAAACUCCAUCUAAAGCUAAAUAUUGACGUGAGACCGAUAGCGAACAAGUACCGUGAGGGAAAGAUGAAAAGAACUUUGAAAAGAGAGUUAAAAAGUACGUGAAACCGUUGGAAGGGAAACGAAUGGACUAAGCAAGGCGCCGUUUGAGAUUCAGCCGGCCGGGGGCUUGCGGGUCGGGGUUUGCGGAUCCGAAUGGACCGCGGUCUCGCGCUCGUUUCUCCUGGCCGUCGCACUUCUCUUGGGCGCACGUCAACGUCGGUUGGGACUGGGUCUGAAAGGUUCCGGGAAGGUAGGUCCGCGCGUUCCUCGCGUUCGCGCGUUCUGUUACAGCCCGUUUCUUUUUGCGGCUCGGGCCCGACCGAGGCGGUCGCAGCGCAUGCCUCUUUUGGCUAGGGUCCCGCCCGUCCGGCCGGUUGUCGACCGCGGUGGACUGCUUGCAGUGCUCCGCGACUGCUGCCGGUCGUUGGGGUGGUGAUCUCGUACCAUGCGCUAAGGAUGUUGGCGG